rnacentral:rRNA from 1 species
UGGGGAAUAUUGGACAAUGGGCGAAAGCCUGAUCCAGCCAUGCCGCGUGUGUGAAGAAGGUCUUCGGAUUGUAAAGCACUUUAAGUUGGGAGGAAGGGCAGUAAGCGAAUACCUUGCUGUUUUGACGUUACCGACAGAAUAAGCACCGGCUAACUCUGUGCCAGCAGCCGCGGUAAUACAGAGGGUGCAAGCGUUAAUCGGAAUUACUGGGCGUAAAGCGCGCGUAGGUGGUUCGUUAAGUUGAAUGUGAAAGCCCCGGGCUCAACCUGGGAACUGCAUCCAAAACUGGCGAGCUAGAGUAGGGCAGAGGGGGGUGGAAUUUCCUGUGUAGCGGUGAAAUGCGUAGGUAUAGGGAGGAACACCAGUGGCGAAGGCGACCACCUGGGCUCAUACUGACACUGAGGUGCGAAAGCGUGGGGAGCAAACAGG